rnacentral:lncRNA from 1 species
UAAAAUUAAUUAUCUAAAAUAAGAAUUCUAUUUAAUCAAUAAAACCUCUUUGAAAUGUUUGUAGCUCAUCUUUAUCCUCUUUGGUAAUUUAGCAUCUUUUGAUAUACUGAAAUCACCGUUUACAAUUGGAUCAUUUAUAUAAUCACUAAAGAUAUUAGCUUUAUUACCAAGUUUGUGCCUGGUUCAGGUUCAGUGGUUCUAUAGGGCCCGGUCUCGAAUCUUUCAUUCCAACGGUUUUGGUAUCGGUUCAGUUUUAUCAGUCUCGGUUCUUUUUUAUAAAGGCUCAUUUUACCAAUAGACACUUAAACAAGGGGGAUCGCUAGAAAAUUCGGACUGGAAAACGAUAUUAGAUACAAAAAGGGACUCAGCUACCUUAUAUAAACAGUGCUUAGUAUUAUAUUCCGAUCACCUAUAAUAAAUUGACCCCAAGAGCUCUCAUUAUACAACUUCUAGAAUAGUACAUCACAAUACUUUAUACAGGUGUGCACGUCUAAAACUGACCACUCUUUUUAAUUUUAUGCCAUGCACAUAUUCGUAAUUUUAUUGAAUUAAACUGUUUUAUACUUCGAGGCAAGUGUAUUGACUAGUUAUAAAGAAAACUCCAGCAAAAUCUAAAUGGCAACAGUGAAACACCAGCCGAUAAUAUGGAGAGUCGCAAUUUUGGAACUUUCCGCGCGGGGAAAAACUUCCACUGAAAUUGCCUAGGUUCUGAACUGCACCCGUACCACUGCAUACAGCGUGGUAGCCAAAGGCACUCCUGAGGCGACCAAAAGAUCUAAGUCAAGGCCUCGAAGGUCGGAAGAUAUGGUUGCUGCCAUGAAAAAGUCUGCUGAGGACAAGAGAGGCAAGGUCACCGUCAGCGGAAUCUCCAGGGAGUUCAACGUCAGCAGAAGGACCAUGGAACGGCUUGUUAAGAAAGAUCUUGGCCUUAAGGUCUACAAGAGAACCCCUUGUCAAGCCCUCAAGCCUGUAGACAAGGAAAAACACCUGGCAAGUUCGAAGAUUCUUCUCAACAGCCCUAAGAAAAAGCCAGCCGAUGUCGUCGUUUUGUUUAGUGAUAAGACACCCUACAGCCUUGGGGAAAUGGUGGCCAAUGACACCAGAUUUUAUCUGGGGGAGUCUCUCGGUGCCAUGGAUGAUGAAAUGGUGCUUGUGAGCAAGGAAUGGCACUCGCCAACCUCCAGGUCCUGGAUGUUGCGUCUGACGGUCAGAAAUGUGAUCUCAUCUUCUUGGAGGACCACGAGAGGCUUAGCUCCGAGACGUACUGCCAAUACUUGAAGGAAAAAGUGUUCCCUUGAGCCAGGGCUACUUACAGGUAGAGGUGGCAGCAGGACGGUUCCAGCUGCCACACUAGCAACUUUACCCUAGAGUUUCUUCAGAUCGAGACUCCAGUCUUCUACGAUCGGAAUUCUUGGCCGCCUCACUCCCCUGAUUGUUCGCCGCUUGACUUCGAAGUGUUUGGACGUUUAAAGGGGAUGAUAUUGGGAGUUCAAUACAAGUGCAAGGACCAGCUAAAGUCUGCCCUCAAGAAUGCCUGAGCCAACCCCGACCAGAAUUACAUCGCCAAGUAAUACAGCAAUUCCAGGCUGGAGUUGGUAGUGGACAGGGGCAGCUAUAUUGAAUAGAUAUGUGUCUAAGACUCUCAUCUUUCAUGUUAAAUAAAUUAAUUCGUCGACCGCUUUAAAAAUUACAUAAUUAUUUAAUUAUUUUUAAAAAUUUCAGAGUGUUCAGUUUUAGACGCGCAUACCUUUAUUUACAUGAACAUUGUACAUCUUAGAUAAACUAGCUUGAUAUAAUUCUACUAUCACACCCUCUCCUUCCUCAAUUCGAAACUCUUUCGAGUUCUCUCAGAUCUUCUACUCAUUUUCAUUUUUAUCUAUACUCCCACAUUCCAUUUCUCCCUUUUUAGUUCUUAGGAAGCUUCAUCCUUUCGAUUAUUUCCUUUUCCAUGAUCUAACCAUCGUUUAUAAUUUUGAACGAUCACACUCUCUCCAACACUAAUUUCUGGUACAUCUCUUCUAUUUUUAUUAUAACUAAUCUUCUCCUUCUUUCUUAUACGCGUAUUUAAAUUAGUUCUAUAUUCUUCUUCCCUGUGCUGUAACCUUGGAACGUAACAUUUCCUAAGGACGGGAUUCCACAGAUAAAUUCGUCGGACUUGAACAAUCCUCCAACCUUAUCAAGAAGCGUUUUCAUAGCCUUCACCAUAGACUCUGCGUUGCUAUUAGUUUGUGGAUAAUGAGGUGAUGAUGGUCCCCAUGUUACUCCCCACUUUGUUAAGAACUCUUGAAAGCCCUAACAACUGAAUUGAGGUCCUUGAUCAGUCCUUCAUUUGAUAGGAUA